rnacentral:rRNA from 1 species
CAGCAGCCGCGGGAAUACGUAGGUGGCAAGCGUUGUCCGGAAUUAUUGAGCGUAAAGGGCUCGCAGGCGGUUUCUUAAGUCUGAUGUGAAAGCCCCCGGCUCAACCGGGGAGGGUCAUUGGAAACUGGGAAACUUGAGUGCAGAAGAGGAGAGUGGGAUUCCACGUGUAGCGGUGAAAUGCGUAGAGAUGUGGAGGAACACCAGUGGCGAAGGCGACUCUCUGGUCUGUAACUGACGCUGAGGAGCGAAAGCGUGGGGAGCGAACAGGAUUAGAUACCCCAGUAGUCCCUGUCUCUUAUAA